rfam:Myotis davidii contig58878, whole genome shotgun sequence.
CUGUCUCCUGCUUCAACAAUAUUUGGAUGGAACAG